UUUAAGACGAUAAUAAGUGACGUCGUUCCCUCCGCCCUUCGUUCUUCCACCGCGCUUCGCCGCUAGUGGCAUUUGAUCUUUCCGGCGAAAUUAUCGGCCGGGCAGGAAGCCUAAAGGUUGAUGGUGGAUUUUGGUGUUUAGCUUCUUUUGAUGCGUGGAACAAUUGAGUUCGCUUAGUGAAUCUAGGCUACAUUUGACGUUGAUGAGAUUAAGGCUUUCUCCUGAAGAGAACAGACUGACUACUUGGAGAGGGAUGGACUUGUUAGUAGAUAGCAGAGUUCACAAAGAAUGGACUCUGAUUAAUGAAGUGAUGCCUCAAACAUCAAUUCAUAUCUUACUAAAUAAUCUGACUGAACCAAUCGAGGCUACCUGAGUGAGACACCAUGAACUGGAUGCUUGCCACCAACAAAAAAGAAAGGAGAAGGAAAAGAGCAAUCUCAGUUUCUUGUAGUAAAAACUUUUCAGCGCUGAUGUAUAUAUGUAUUGUAUACUGGCGUAAACAAUAUUGAUUAUUUAUGUUACUCCUGUAAACUUAUCUCAUGAGAAAUGAAUGAACUCAUGUUUGGGA